rnacentral:tRNA from 1 species
AAUUAAGAAAUCAUUGAUGAUGAACUGUAAAUUCAUAUUAGUAUACACUUUUAACCU